UCCAUUCAGUUGGUGCGUGUUGGCUGUGAGCUGUUGAGCCCAAACACACCAGAGCGAUAAUGUCAAAACAACGUUAAACGGCCACCGCAGCUCGUCUAGCACAGUUCAAUGCAUACUUAUUAUUCCAUUCUCUGUGAGUUCACCAUUGCAGGUCUCCCAACUUCAACCAUACCUUGAUAUGCAGGUGUUAUAAAGAGCGCUGACUAAAUGGCCUACCGUUGGAGGCGGACUUCUUCCCCUUGCGGGCCAGGGUGAGCUGGACCUGUUGCUGGACCCGGACGCUCCGGUCGACGGAGUGGAACCUGGCCGGGCUCAGGAUGCUGUGCUCGGCAGGCAGGGCCAGACUGCUGUCGUCCAGGACCUGAGGGGGGAGAACGGACUUGAAACAACCCUCGUCCCCCAUCUCGGAUCCUUCCGGUGUCGGUCAACGACGGCUGGUCGUCUCCCCCUGUUUUGAGGGCAUAACUUCUCCGGUAUCGGUUACUUAUUGUCGUCCGCGUGUGUGUUUUAUGGGACAGACCAGGUGCGCGGUCCCAGUGCAGUGCGCCAGGACUGUGUAAAGUUGCUAUGCUUUGUUUCAGGGCGUCACCCGGUGUCAUUUUACCCGAGGCUCUGUUAAAGCGAGACGCCCCGUUCCGCGGGUUCAGACGGCUUCCUUCCUCCUUCACAGGUCUGUCAUGUUAUCCCCCCUCCACCGCCAUGACAUCAUGGAGGACUCUGAGUCCAUCUACUCCCCCUGCUGGUUGGUGGUCACACUGCAGCUCAAUUAAGAUCCCUGACAAUAUAUUGCUUGAAUUUUCCUGAUGCGCUGGAGCCGUAGGGAGUGAAUGGGCUGCUGGAGCACCCGCUCUGAGCGACAAACAUCACCGGGGAUGGCGUUACAUUGUAGUGAAUGAACCCCCUCUCCGUCUGCAGACAACGCCAAAGGGUCCUUUUCCCGUCAGCGAC
ensembl:lncRNA